UCCCCUGUGGUGUAAUUGGCAACACUGCCGGUUUUGGUCCGGUAAUUCCAGGUUCGAGUCCUGGCGGGGGAG
rnacentral:tRNA from 4 species